rnacentral:rRNA from 1 species
GACGAAGGAUGCAAGCGUUAUCCGGAUUCAUUGGGUUUAAAGGGAGCGUAGGUGGCCUUAUAAGUCAGCGGUGAAAUCUCUGGGCUUAACCCAGAAAUUGCCAUUGAUACUGUAGGGCUUGAGUACAGUUGCUGUGGGCGGAAUAUGACAUGUAGUGGUGAAAUACAUAGAGAUGUCAUAGAACACCGAUUGCGAAGGCAGCUCACAAAACUGUAACUGACACUGAGGCUCGAAAGUGCGGGGAUCAAAACAGGG